CAGUAGCCGCGGUAAUACGAAGGGGGCUAGCGUUGCUCGGAAUGACUGGGCGUAAAGGGCGCGUAGGCGGAUUGUUUAGUUAGGCGUGAAAUUCCUGGGCUUAACCUGGGGACUGCGCUUAAUACAGGCAGUCUAGAGUGUGUCAGAGGAUGGUGGAAUUCCCGGUGUAGCGGUGAAAUGCGUAGAGAUCGGGAGGAACAUCAGUGGCGAAGGCGGCCAUCUGGGACAACACUGACGCUGAGGCACGAAAGCGUGGGGAGCAAACAGGAUUAGAUACCCCCGUAGUCCCUGUCUCUUAUAC
rnacentral:rRNA from 1 species